UGGCGGGGAGGAUUCCUGGUGCCGUGAUUUGAUGCACAAAAAGAAAGAAAAAUCACAUUGCCAGGGAUUUCCACCUCUUC
rnacentral:pre_miRNA from 12 species